GAACGCUAGCUACAGGCUUAACACAUGCAAGUCGAGGGGCAUCAGGAAGAAAGCUUGCUUUCUUUGCUGGCGACCGGCGCACGGGUGAGUAACACGUAUCCAACCUGCCCUUUACUCGGGGAUAGCCUUUCGAAAGAAAGAUUAAUACCCGAUGGCAUAAUGAUUCCGCAUGGUUUCAUUAUUAAAGGAUUCCGGUAAAGGAUGGGGAUGCGUUCCAUUAGGUUGUUGGUGAGGUAACGGCUCACCAAGCCUUCGAUGGAUAGGGGUUCUGAGAGGAAGGUCCCCCACACUGGAACUGAGACACGGUCCAAACUCCUACGGGAGGCAGCAGUGAGGAAUAUUGGUCAAUGGGCGCUAGCCUGAACCAGCCAAGUAGCGUGAAGGAUGAAGGCUCUAUGGGUCGUAAACUUCUUUUAUAUAAGAAUAAAGUGCAGUAUGUAUACUGUUUUGUAUGUAUUAUAUGAAUAAGGAUCGGCUAACUCCGUGCCAGCAGCCGCGGUAAUACGGAGGAUCCGAGCGUUAUCCGGAUUUAUUGGGUUUAAAGGGAGCGUAGGUGGACUGGUAAGUCAGUUGUGAAAGUUUGCGGCUCAACCGGAAAAUUGCAGUUGAUACUGUCAGUCUUGAGUACAGUAGAGGUGGGCGGAAUUCGUGGUGUAGCGGUGAAAUGCUUAGAUAUCACGAAGAACUCCGAUUGCGAAGGCAGCUCACUGGACUGCAACUGACACUGAUGCUCGAAAGUGUGGGUAUCAAACAGGAUUAGAUACCCUGGUAGUCCACACAGUAAACGAUGAAUACUCGCUGUUUGCGAUAUACAGUAAGCGGCCAAGCGAAAGCAUUAAGUAUUCCACCUGGGGAGUACGCCGGCAACGGUGAAACUCAAAGGAAUUGACGGGGGCCCGCACAAGCGGAGGAACAUGUGGUUUAAUUCGAUGAUACGCGAGGAACCUUACCCGGGCUUAAAUUGCAGUGGAAUGAUGUGGAAACAUGUCAGUGAGCAAUCACCGCUGUGAAGGUGCUGCAUGGUUGUCGUCAGCUCGUGCCGUGAGGUGUCGGCUUAAGUGCCAUAACGAGCGCAACCCUUAUCUUUAGUUACUAACAGGUUAUGCUGAGGACUCUAGAGAGACUGCCGUCGUAAGAUGUGAGGAAGGUGGGGAUGACGUCAAAUCAGCACGGCCCUUACGUCCGGGGCUACACACGUGUUACAAUGGGGGGUACGGAAGGCAGCUAGCGGGUGACCGUAUGCUAAUCCCAAAAGCCUCUCUCAGUUCGGAUCGAAGUCUGCAACCCGACUUCGUGAAGCUGGAUUCGCUAGUAAUCGCGCAUCAGCCACGGCGCGGUGAAUACGUUCCCGGGCCUUGUACACACCGCCCGUCAAGCCAUGGGAGCCGGGGGUACCUGAAGUACGUAACCGCAAGGAUCGUCCUAGGGUAAAACUGGUGACUGGGGCUAAGU
rnacentral:rRNA from 1 species